CUCUAGAAAAGAAGAUCAAAGUUGUUUCAACUUCAAGAAACAUGGACACUUCAUUUCUGAUUGUCCUGAAUUGCAGAACGAGAAAUCAGAAGAGAAAUCAAAGAAACCAACCUUCAAAUCCAACAAGAUUUGAAUCGUGAAUCUCUCAAUUCUAAGAUUGAAAUCUUAACUCACAUUGCUUUAGUUAUUUGUCAAAUUUGUUGUGAUUGUUCGUGCAAAAAUUCA
rnacentral:lncRNA from 1 species